ACCCAACAGAAACCAAUUGCCUUUAAGGCAGCCAGCUGGAGUUUCCAAUCAAGAAAGCCCUACUCAGAGCAGAUGUCCUGUCAGGUGAAUGAUGAAACAAAUACAAGAAUAUGACAUCAUCAAGCUGAGCAUUCACAGCAUCACCUGGAUCCUGAGUGGGGAAGUUAAGGCAGGUGGUUGGAGUUCCCAGUUGAGCUUUCUUUCCGUGGCUGAGCUGAGCUUCCCAGGACUGGAUUUUCAGCUUCUCCUUCCCACUGCAGGCAUUUGUAUCAUGGAUGAACAUUCGACUUCUGUCGUCAGGGCUGGCAGCAUGGCUCAGCAGCUAAGAGUGCUUGUUGGCCUUGCAGAGGACCUUGGUUUGGAUACCAGAACACACACGACAACUCACAGCUAUAAGCACAGUUCCAGAAGGUCCAAUGCCAACCUUUAUCACCUUUAGGAACUUCACAAUACAGUAUAUGUCCAUGCAGGCCUAGAAAUAAACAAAUAUAUUUUGAAUUUUUUUAAA